ensembl:lncRNA
GACCGCUUUCCUCUUGUGUAUGUUGAAAGAUUCAGUGGAGGAGGAUGAACCGACCGCUCUCGUGUUGUCUGUCUGGGUAAUGUGUCUGGUAAUUUAUGUGUUGUCCCUUUACCUGAAAGAGUCUCCUUUCUAAAGUCAUUUUUAUCCCAGACAAGAGUCACAGGCACUUCAGCACUGAAUUUUUCAGGGAUGUAUAUUUCUCCCCUCUCCAUUUGUAGAUGAGCAAGGGCAGUAUCAUGCUCAAGGACCUGGGAAUUAGAUGAGCAGUGACCCAGACCAUUUAACAGCCCUAUAAGCUGUGCAGAGCCAGUCAUAUGCCGAACUGCCAUUGCAAGUGAGCACUGUUUAGGCAUGAGCCACCGUCCUCUGGUUGCCAGGGUAAUAAUGUCCUGACAAGUGGACACUAUCUUUCUGUUGUCCUCUGAAGUGACAUCAACACGUUCAUCUGAUGGUUGUGAUGACAUUCCUUAUAUCCAUGCAAUGAAGUUAAAAAGUUGGUGAGGCGCUACACUCAUGCCAUUUUCCAGUGUGAGAUCACUUGCUGUGGGAGGCCAUGGUAGCUUUGGCUAUAUUUUUGAUGUCUUUUGAAUUUUUUUUUUUUAAGUGUCAUUGCUGCAUGAUAUAACACCCGAGAAUCAUCCGUGGUGUUGGUGACAUUUUCUAUAUUUCCUUGACUUGUCAUUUCUCCUUCUCUUUCUUCAGAUGAGGAAGAAGCAGAGGAGACGGCAACUUCAUGCACAAUCUCGUCAGUUGACAGAUUGUCCACAUAUACAAGAUUUUUUGAAAAGCAAAUUCAGCUUUGACAGUCGAAGUACUUUGCGUUGUUUUAACAGCCUCUCCUCAAUUUUUUCUCCUCAGUUUUGCAGAAGUGCUUGUAUCCAUUUUCAUAUAUGUUUGUUUCUGUUCUCUCAAUUUUGUGUGUGGUCAGAUACCGGGUAUAAUCUCGAUAGCAGGUGAAGUGAUACAGUGCUUCACUAGCCACCAAGUCCCUGUCUUGGAUAUGGAGAAGGAGAGACUCGUCCCUUUUCCCUUCAGCGGCGAGUAGCAAUUUCCCGGCAUGGAGUGUUUCAUACUGUGUUAGCUUUUCUUUUAACCUUUUCCUGCUGUGUGACUGAACCUUGUACUUCUCAUGUUUGCAUAUAAUGCAUUGUACUGGAAGCAAGUGUGGGGCCCGCUUGGACGUGUAGGAAUCACGGGCGUAAGAUCUCAGAGACCGUGUUUUAACUGUUGCCUCACCAUCCUCUGCCUCUACCACUAAAAGUGCAAAACAAUAGAUUUAGGUUCUGCACCCUUCCCCAAAUCACUGAUUAAAGAAAAAUGGUUUAUAUCUUUCAGCAGGGGAAAACUUGUGCUCCAUUUAUUGUUUCCACCUGUUCCCUGAACACAGGUAAUAAACCUGUUUCACAGCUUUCAGGUGCCUGUCCUUAUUGAUGUUAAUGAUGCCAUAAUUGGAAGGGUAAAUUUUUGCAGGGUGUUUUUUAUUAUAUUAGUUAAUUGUAUGUAUGUAUGUAUGUAUGUAUGUAUAUAUAUAUAUAUAUAUAUAUAUAUAUAUAUAUAUAUAUAUAUAUAUAUAUAUAAAGUUGGCUUGAAGUUCCUAUAUCUUUUCUAACUGAUUGGACUUAGUUUUCCUAAAAAUGACGACUAAAACUCUGGAAAAUCCCAUUGACUUUCAUUGCAGAAUGUUCAAAUUGAGCCAAGGCUACGGUGGCCCAGCAGUGCACAACACAAACUCAAAUCUAAACUCCCUGAAGUCCUAGACUCAAUUAAACUUACUUCCUUCAUAUCUUUCUUUUUUCUAUCUAUCCUUCUUUCUAACCUUUCAAGAUUUCUUUCUAACCUUUUCUUUUAUUUUCUUUUAUCUAUAAAUUUUUUUCUUUCUACCUAUCUAUUGAACUGUAUUGCCAUAAAGGGUAACUAAACCCCUGGUCAGAGCCUGACUCCACCCACUGGCAAUAUUUGAAAAAUGCUGAAAAGUGGGCAGAGCCAGCGGAGAUAGAGGGGACGAACCGAGGGCGGGGUUGAGCGCGUGGGGCGUGAACCUGAGACCAGCAGUGACGAAUUGAUUGACAGCUGCUGUCAGAGUCGCUAAAAUGAAGAGUGACACAAGUAGCUUUGCAACAGAGCGUUCAUUUGAAGUAGAGGACUUUUCUCCCCCACCUUCACCUGAAGUGGAGGAUGUCGAGGUGUCUGUUCAUAUCAAUUUAGAGCCGCUGGCUCAAACUGCAGUCUUAACUCCCGCACCGCAUCGCUUUUCAGCGUGAGCUGUGUGGAGAAGCCCAUUUCCACCUCCAUUGCGUUGGAGAAGCAAUCCCGUGUAAAAUGCACACUCCAGCUCUAGGCGGGAACUCACGAUCUUCCAGGUAAAGUGCAUGCAACCACUGGCGCAUAAUUAUAAAGUCUGCUGGAAAACUAUGCAGUCCAGCAGUGCUGUCGCAACCAGCAACACACCUCCGUACCAUCCUGACCACUGUACUAAAAAUACAGUUAAAUCUAUGACAACUUGAAGCUAUCCUAACUGAUGCAAUACUAUGCUACUUACUAACUAACUAGCUAUGCUUCUAACAAUACUAACAUUACACUACUAUGCUAAUUAACUACAUAGGCUACACAAAAUAAUCUAAAUAACUAUAUAAAUGCUAUGCUAAAUAGAUGCUAUAAUAGUCUAUCAUGGUCGUUUUCAAUACUCUCAAUUCCAACUCCUGACUCACUACAGUAAUUUUGAUGGAACAAGAUGGUUUUAUACUGCUAAGGGCAUGGUAGCUCGCACCAAUGGGCGUUGUGAGCUGCACUGUAAAAAAAAAUUCCGUUAAAUAACAGUAAUUUUCUGGCAGCAGGGGUGCCAGUAAAGUACUGUUAAUUUACAGCUCUUAACCAUUAAUUUACCACUCCUAUUUUUUAACAGUAUUUUACCGUAAAUUCUACCAUGGAAAUUAACUCCACUCCCACUGCUUCAAACAGUUCGAGUUUUUAAAACUAGCAUUCCUACGAUGUUAGUACUAGGAACUUAUUUCAUUUGAGUCCACUGAGAAGGAAUAUUUCUUACACUUAAUGUGCAGUAAUAAAGUAACUAAAUACAUGACUUUUACUCAAAUCACUGCAGCUCAUUGUCAGCUAUAGCACACAUGUAUGUGCUGAAGUAAUUAACACAGAGAUCAUCACUGUAUCAGCGACUCCACAUUCACUGCCUUUAUAUAAAGCAGCAGAAAAUCAGAAUUUGUGGCUCAUCAUUGACUGAAGCACCAGCUCUACUCUACAGCACAAUGGUGAACAACAAAACUACAUUAAACUAAACGAUCUCUCUUGUGCAAACACAAAUUAAUACAGUCAAGUUCAGUAUUUACUCUCAUUAUCAGUGUAUGACUUUGCCUAAUUUUUUUUCUAUGAAUGUUCACAAAUAUUUUAGUUAAAUUAACUUUUUUUUCAUUUGGUAAAUCUGACGUUUACAUUUUACAGUAUAUUACUGUUUUUCCUUGACUUGACGGCAAAAAACUGUAGAAAAACACUUUUUUUUGCUGGCAACCAUUAAU